GAUGAACGCUAGCUACAGGCUUAACACAUGCAAGUCGAGGGGAAACGGCAUUGAGUGCUUGCACUCUUUGGACGUCGACCGGCGCACGGGUGAGUAACGCGUAUCCAACCUUCCCAUUACUGUGGGAUAACCUGCCGAAAGGCAGACUAAUACCGCAUAGUCUUCGAUGACGGCAUCAGAUUUGAAGUAAAGAUUUAUCGGUAAUGGAUGGGGAUGCGUCUGAUUAGCUUGUUGGCGGGGUAACGGCCCACCAAGGCGACGAUCAGUAGGGGUUCUGAGAGGAAGGUCCCCCACAUUGGAACUGAGACACGGUCCAAACUCCUACAGGAGGCAGCAGUGAGGAAUAUUGGUCAAUGGAUGGAAGUCUGAACCAGCCAAGUAGCGUGCAGGACGACGGCCCUAUGGGUUGUAAACUGCUUUUGUAUGGGGAUAAAGUUAGGGACGUGUCCCUAUUUGCAGGUACCAUACGAAUAAGGACCGGCUAAUUCCGUGCCAGCAGCCGCGGUAAUACGGGAGGUCCAGGUGUUAUCCGGAUUUAUUGGGUUUAAAGGGAGCGUAGGCUGGAGAUUAAGUGUGUUGUGAAAUGUAGACGCUCAACGUCUGACUUGCAGCGCAUACUGGUUUCCUUGAGUACGCACAACGUUGGCGGAAUUCGUCGUGUAGCGGUGAAAUGCUUAGAUAUGACGAAGAACUCCGAUUGCGAAGGCAGCUGACGGGAGCGCAACUGACGCUUAAGCUCGAAGGUGCGGGUAUCAAACAGG
rnacentral:rRNA from 1 species